rnacentral:lncRNA from 1 species
GAAUCAUAAGAAAUUGAUAUGUUAACGUAACUGAGUUUAACUUAACAAACGUUUUUUUCUUGAAGGUUUAUAUAAUGUUAUAUAUUAAUAUUUAUUUUGAGUGUUUUUAAAUGAACUAGUCAGAUUUUAUAAUUAUUACUGUCAGCUGGUUUUCGACAGCCCUCAUCUCAAGCAGUUUCAGCAUAGACGUUGAAAAUAUAUGCUAGAUUUAUAUUCUUAUCAGUAUUAUGCCCCCCUCUCAAGUAGCGGUGGCGGCAUUACAUUUUAUCCCUUGUCAGUUCGUACGUCCCGAAACUGUUCUGGUAAUAGAGUUUUUCUCAACCAAAUGUAAUAAAACUUUUGCACAAUGUUUGUAAUCACAAAACUAAAAGCAGAUCAAGUACAAAUCUGGGUAGCAUAGCAUUUACCGUCCUUUAUACAUUAUAUGUACACGGAGGUAUCAUCUGUGUCCCAUGUUAACAUUCCGCAUUUAUUUGCUAUUGUUGGCUGUGUUUUAUUUCUUUAACGUGAAGUCAAUUUAUCUCCGAAAUAUAUAUACACACAUGCUUAUUAUAUUUCAUCUGUUGAUAGUUGAGUUUAUGAUUAUGUCCGUUUUAUUUAGGUAAUAAAUCUCAGGUAUCUUGUUUCCUGGAACCAACUUAAUUCCCGCUUUAAGAAUAUUGUAAAUGUGAAAAUUUUGUUGCGGUAUCAAAUCCAAUACUUUACAAAAACAUGUUGUAAUUAAUAAACGCUCAAGGGUCCUUAAGACAUUGCUUAAGAGAUCUGAAUUUGUGUGUUAUUAACUAGCAAGAUGUGGGUUCGUAAAAAUCAACACUGCCAUUUUGCGAUGUAGUUAGAUUCUUGAAGGUAAGAACAUUUAGUGAAAACUAAAUUAUAAAAAAUGUCAAACAGACUUAGUUUCGCCCCAUAAGAUGUUAUUGAUACUGCCGACAGCUCAAACAAUAUUUUUUGUUAUUUGUUUCUUUCAAUUUUUCCUUUUUUAUUGUUAGUUUCAUGUCCAAUGGAUUUAUGCAUGCUCAUAGUAUUAUAUAUAAUUUUAUAUUGUAGUCAUUUGUUUGUUUGUUUUUCUUGUGUAUUUACCAUAUUAAUAAAAUAUACCAAAUAAAGUAUGUUUAUAUUAGAUCAUCUUCAACCAUAUGCAUUUUAAAAGGAUAUGGCAUCUUUGAUAGUGAUUUAAAAAAUGUAAUCUUUUAUUUAUGAUCUCGAUUAAAUUGUAUUAUUUUAUCAGCAUUUAAUGGACAAAUUGUCGAGUUAAUGAACACAAAAAUAAGCAUGUGUCUUCAGUUGCUAAAAUUUGCGCUUUACUGGUAAAAUGGCCUUUUAAAAAUUCAUUCUUAUUAUCUUGAUAACUUUUUAAUUUGCUGUUAAUUUGUUUAUUUUUCGUUUUUUUUAUAUAUAUUUAACUAUACUGUUUUUAUCCUUUUUACAAAUAUUAACUUAUAUAACUAUUAAAAUCAUGCAGGUAAGCAAAAGGUCAGUUUCCUCGUCAGAGUUUACCUAGUAUUACAGAUAGAUAUGAUAUGUUUUAUCUAACAAUUUGUUAGUUGGAGUCUAUUUUUGACGAUAUCUGUUAUUCUUUCAAGGUAUUGUUCAUUUAAGAGAACAACAAAUUCGUGUGAAUUUGAAUAGCUUGUAUUCAGCAAAAUAAAUUUGUUUCUUUUUUGUCAGUUUUGACUAAUAAAUGAUAGUGUUAUCUUACGUGUAUAUACAUUUAUAAAAUGUAAUCCAAUUUUUUCCAUUUCAAAUUGACUGAGACAAAUAUACGUUCUUACAUUUAUCUUCUAUAAACAUAGAGUUGCGAGUAAAAUCAUUUGUUUGGUAACGUAUGUUUUCCUAUGCAUUACUGUAAGUUGUAAUGAGAAGCAGACGACAGACGAACAAACGGACGGACGAACAGACGGACGAACGGGUGCACAGAACAAAC